AAAAGAGGAACUGGCCUUGGAGAGAAGAAGGAAGUGCAGUUACAUUGAGGAAGGAUCAAAACAUCAAAACUGGGUUGCCGUUUUUACAGACAAAUUCAGGUGCAUAGCGAAGGCGAAAGGCUUCGAGAAGCCUGGGAUUUCUCUUCAAAUUCUGAUACAAAAGCUGGGAUGAAGAACUGUCUAUCUAAUUUCAGUUUAUUUAAUGGCAGAUAUUGGAAAUUUCACAGUAAAAAGGAAGACAUUUUUAUCAGACAUAUAAGUGCCAUAAGCCCUCGACAAAGAUCUUUACAUCAUCCGUAAAUGAAUCAUGCAAUAUUGAAUUUAAAGUUUGUGAUUGAAAUUGAUUACUUUGGUAUUGCAUUGAGUGAGCGCUAGAUACAACAGACUGUUUUGUGUGCGGGAGCUGAGGAUCUCCACGACCAGUUAGCUCUGUGAUCGGAGGUAUUUAAAUUCAAGGCAAUCAUUGUUAUUGCACGAAAUGUUUCCAGCUGGAUACAAUAAGGCCUGAAAAGUUUGUGUGUUCGCUGUUUUUGAACGACACAUUUGACCGAGUUUAUUUGAUGUGGGCCAGUGCAUAGUUAAUUGUUAGGUUAGUUAAAUUCGUACAACCAUUGUUGCAUAUCUAACUAACGUGUAAAACAGAGGAUUGCGAAAAAGACAAGUGUCAUUUUGUUUAUCAGAAUUGUCUACAUGACCUCCUGGUGGUGGCAGAUUAUAGCCUUUUACGGUCGUCUCUAAGCCUAGGGGCUAGAUAGGGAAUGAGUAUAUUUAUUUUAAACACUUAAUAUUUUCGUGAUAAAAAUAAAUAAACUGUCAAGAUGAAACUCCUGGAGAAUUCUAGUUUUGAAGCCAUAAACACCAGACUCACCAUUGAAACGGGGGACUGUCAGAUAAUAGGAAGGAUCGAGAGCUACUCUUGCAAGAUGGCAGGCGAGGACAAGCAGAUGUUCAAGCAGUUCUGUCAGGAGGGACUGCCUCAUGUCCUGGAAGCCCUGUCCCCUCCACAGUCCUUAGGAAUAAGCCCCAACAAGUUGAGCCAGAGUCAGAGUGGAGACGAGGGGGAAGGGCCUCUCUCUGACAAGUGCAGCAGGAAGACCCUCUUUUACCUGAUCGCCACCCUCAACGAAUCCUUCCGCCCCGACUAUGACUUCAGCCGCACCAAGAGCCACGACUUUAGCAGAGAGCCCAGCGUUAACUGGGUGUUCAACGCGGUGAACAGUAGUCUGUCGGCGGCGGCUGGGGAGGAUUAUAGUCUGCUUCAGCCCCAGCUGUGGGAGGCCAUCGACGCUGAGAUCUGCCUGUCCGAGUGUGACAUCUACAGCUACAACCCAGACCUGGACUCUGACCCGUACGGAGAGGAGGGCAACAUGUGGUCCUUCAACUACUUCUUCUACAACACGAGGCUGAAGAGGAUCGUCUUCUUCACGUGCCGCUCGGUCAGUUUAUUCAUGGCCCCACGGGACUCUGGCAUUGACAACGAACUGGACCUGGAGCUGGAUGAAGAUUGUUAUGAGAACAUGGAUGAAGAGAGGUGAGGAGGACACAGCCUGGAUUCUUCAUAGAAAACCCUAAAAUAUGAUCAAGCAUGAAACUGUUUUUCUUUUAAGUUACAAAGGUAUGGUGCCCUGUGUGCCCAGUGAAGUAUCAGUCUCAUACAG